rnacentral:rRNA from 1 species
ACCCGCUGAACUUAAGCAUAUCAAUAAGCGGAGGAAAAGAAACCAACAGGGAUUGCCCUAGUAACGGCGAGUGAAGCGGCAACAGCUCAAAUUUGAAAUCUGGCUCUUUUAGGGUCCGAGUUGUAAUUUGCAGAGGGCGCUUUGGCGUUAGCAGCGGUCCAAGUUCCUUGGAACAGGUCGUCACAGAGGGUGAGAAUCCCGUACGUGGUCGCCAGCUUUCGCCGUGUAAAGCCCCUUCGACGAGUCGAGUUGUUUGGGAAUGCAGCUCUAAAUGGGAGGUAAAUUUCUUCUAAAGCUAAAUACUGGCCAGAGACCGAUAGCGCACAAGUAGAGUGAUCGAAAGAUGAAAAGCACUUUGGAAAGAGAGUCAAAUAGCACGUGAAAUUGUUGAAAGGGAAGCGCUUGCAGCCAGACUUGCCUGUAGUUGCUCAACCGAGCUUUUGUUCGGUGCAUUCUUCUAUAGGCAGGCCAGCAUCAGUUUGGGCGGUUGGAUAAAGGUCUCUGUCACGUACCUCCUUUCGGGGAGGCCUUAUAGGGGAGACGAAUUGCAACCAGCCCGGACUGAGGUCCGCGCAUCUGCUAGGAUGCUGGCGUAAUGGCUGUAAGCGGCCCGUCUUGAAACACGG